rnacentral:rRNA from 1 species
GGGCUCGAGAUAACUCCAACCCAAUGUGACGUUACCAAACUGUUGCCUCGGCGGGAUCUCUGCCCCGGGUGCGUCGCAGCCCCGGACCAAGGCGCCCGCCGGAGGACCAACCAAAACUCUUAUUGUAUACCCCCUCGCGGGUUUUUUACUAUCUGAGCCAUCUCGGCGCCCCUCGUGGGCGUUUCGAAAAUGAAUCAAAACUUUCAACAACGGAUCUCUUGGUUCUGGCAUCGAUGAAGAACGCAGCGAAAUGCGAUAAGUAAUGUGAAUUGCAGAAUUCAGUGAAUCAUCGAAUCUUUGAACGCACAUUGCGCCCGCCAGUAUUCUGGCGGGCAUGCCUGUCCGAGCGUCAUUUCAACCCUCGAACCCCUCCGGGGGGUCGGCGUUGGGGAUCGGCCCUUUACGGGGCCGGCCCCGAAAUACAGUGGCGGUCUCGCCGCAGCCUCUCCUGCGCAGUAGUUUGCACACUCGCAUCGGGAGCGCGGCGCGUCCACAGCCGUUAAACACCCCAAACUUCUGAAAUGUUGACCUCGGAUCAGGUAGGAAUACCCGCUGAACUUAAGCAUAUCAAUAAGCGGGAGGAA